rnacentral:rRNA from 1 species
GGAGUUAGCCGGUGCUUCUUCUGCGAGUAACGUCACAGAUGUAAGGUAUUAACUUACACCCUUUCCUCCUCGCUGAAAGUGCUUUACAACCCGAAGGCCUUCUUCACACACGCGGCAUGGCUGCAUCAGGGUUUCCCCCAUUGUGCAAUAUUCCCCACUGCUGCCUCCCGUAGGAGUCUGGGCCGUGUCUCAGUCCCAGUGUGGCUGAUCAUCCUCUCAGACCAGCUAGGGAUCGUCGCCUAGGUGAGCCUUUACCUCACCUACUAGCUAAUCCCACCUGGGCUUAUCCAUCAGCGCAAGGCCCGAAGGUCCCCUGCUUUCCCCCGUAGGGCGUAUGCGGUAUUAGCAGUCGUUUCCAACUGUUAUCCCCCACAAAUGGGCAAAUUCCCAGGCAUUACUCACCCGUCCGCCGCUCGUCAUCUUCAAAAGCAAGCUUUUGAAAUGUUACCGCUCGACUUGCAUGUGUUAGGCCUGCCGCCAGCGUUCAAUCUGAACCAGAUCAAACUCUGA